rnacentral:rRNA from 1 species
GACGAACGUUGGCGGCGUGCUUAACACAUGCAAGUCGAACGAAGAGCGAUGGAAGCUUGCUUCUAUCAAUCUUAGUGGCGAACGGGUGAGUAACGCGUAAUCAACCUGCCCUUCAGAGGGGGACAACAGUUGGAAACGACUGCUAAUACCGCAUACGAUCCAAUCUCGGCAUCGAGGAUGGAUGAAAGGUGGCCUCUAUUUAUAAGCUAUCACUGAAGGAGGGGAUUGCGUCUGAUUAGCUAGUUGGAGGGGUAACGGCCCACCAAGGCGAUGAUCAGUAGCCGGUCUGAGAGGAUGAACGGCCACAUUGGGACUGAGACACGGCCCAGACUCCUACGGGAGGCAGCAGUGGGGAAUCUUCCGCAAUGGACGAAAGUCUGACGGAGCAACGCCGCGUGAGUGAUGACGGCCUUCGGGUUGUAAAGCUCUGUUAAUCGGGACGAAAGGCCUUCUUGCGAAUAGUUAGAAGGAUUGACGGUACCGGAAUAGAAAGCCACGGCUAACUACGUGCCAGCAGCCGCGGUAAUACGUAGGUGGCAAGCGUUGUCCGGAAUUAUUGGGCGUAAAGCGCGCGCAGGCGGAUUGGUCAGUCUGUCUUAAAAGUUCGGGGGUUAACCCCGUGAUGGGAUGGAAACUGCCAAUUUAGAGUAUCGGAGAGGAAAGUGGAAUUCCUAGUGUAGCGGUGAAAUGCGUAGAUAUUAGGAAGAACACCAGUGGCGAAGGCGACUUUCUGGACGAAAACUGACGCUGAGGCGCGAAAGCCAGGGGAGCGAACGGGAUUAGAUACCCCGGUAGUCCUGGCCGUAUACGAUGG